GUCAGAGGCGAUGAAGGACGUGCUAAUCUGCGAAAAGCGUCGGUAAGGUGAUAUGAACCGUUAUAGCCGGCGAUGUCCGAAUGGGGAAACCCAGUGCAAUUCGUUGCACUAUCGUUAACUGAAUACAUAGGUUAACGAGGCGAACCGGGGGAACUGAAACAUCUAAGUACCCCGAGGAAAAGAAAUCAACCGAGAUUCCCCC
rnacentral:rRNA from 1 species